UUUUAUGUUUUCUUUGCUUGAUGCCAAUAAUUUGACCCUUCUGAAAAAGAUGAACAUCUUGUCCAUGAACACAGGAUGUGUCUUCUGAUAUGGUUGUUUAAAAAAUGAGAAGCUGCGCACUGCACC